rnacentral:lncRNA from 1 species
AUCGCCUCCAAUUACUUUGUUCUUUGCUGCCUCCCAGUAACGACUUGUCAUGUCCCUUGCAGGGGAGCGCAGGGCAGCCCGGCCGCCCCGGGUCACCGGGCCACCGAGGAUUAGCCGGUUUGCCAGGCCAACCUGGGGCCAAAGGCGGCCCAGGAGUUAAGGGCGAACCAGGUGCCCGUGGCCUUCCAGGAAUCACCGGA